rnacentral:tRNA from 1 species
UGGUGUGUCGCCAAAUAGGUAAGGCACUGGCUUUUGAUGCUAUCAUGUUAUAGGUUCGAGUCCUAUCACACCAG